rnacentral:rRNA from 1 species
UACGGAGGUUGCAAGCGUUGUUCGGAAUAACUGGGCGUAAAGGGAGCGCAGGCGGCUUGGUAAGUCUAAAGUGAAAUCCCAGGGCUCAACUCUGGACGUGCUUUGGAUACUGCCUGGCUUGAGUACGUGAGAGGAGAUUGGAAUUCCAGGUGUAGCGGUGAAAUGCGUAGAUAUCUGGAGGAACACCGGUGGCGAAAGCGGAUCUCUGGCACGUUACUGACGCUGAGGCUCGAAAGCGUGGGGAGUAAACGGG